GAUGAGUAGGAGAGUAACAAAGUGGAGACAGAUGUGAGAAUGAGAAGAGAGAGGGAGAUGUACCAAAAAUAGAAUGAUCAUAAUUCAGGAGAGAAAGAAACGCAAAAAGAGGAACCAACCCCAUUGGUUUUUAUCAAAUUUUGUUCUUGCAGGCAGGCAAGCGGUUUAAAUGUGUGACAAGGACUGUGUGUAUGCGGUUGAAACGGUUUUAGCUUAUAAUCGCUUAGCGUGUGAGCAAAACUUUAAUCAUCCUCACCAUUACAUUUAUCAUUCUACCUUUUUUAUUCAAUUUAACUUCUAAUCUUCUAAGAAAGCUAACGGAAAUGGAGCAGGAGAACAGGAAGAGAGGAAGAGAAGAAUUGGGAGAGGAGAAGAAAGAGUUUUUUGUGAAGAAUGCAGCAAAGAAGCAAGGUGUUAAUUAUAAUGAUAGUGAGAGUUCCAUUGUAUCAUCGGAAAACCAUAUAGCAUUAGGAGUAUUUGAUUUUCCAUGGCUGCAUGAGCAUGACGAAGGAAUCAUAUCAAAAUUAUCAGACGAAUACUGGAAUUUCCAAGACAGCUUCUCCUCCUCACUGGAUGAAACCUGCACUCAAACAGAGGUUGCAUGUUUGUAUGAGAUUCCAACAUUUAACUCAUCAAUAAGUUUAAGUUUUCCAGACAGUAAGUUUGAGGAGAAUGUGGAUUGCAUUUGGAGUUUCCUCCUUAAUCAGCCGCUUCAACAGGGCGUACCUAAUGACUAGAAAACUUUUGCAAUCCAUGUAAACUAUAUAUUACUAUAAAAUAUUUAGAUAUUUGGUUGGUAUUAUAUUACAAAAUAGGCUGCCCUCACAAAGUAUGUUUUGGCAGAAUAGACUAAAACAGGCCUGAGGUAAAAAGUUUCUCUUUUGUUUACCAUUUUUGUUUUUGGUGUUCUGGGCAUUCUUUUGCCCACAGUUGCUUAUCUGCUAGAUGUGAAUGAUAUGUUAUUUGCAUAUUGUCACUCAA